AUGGCAUUUUAUGCUCUGUAAUUGGAAUGAUGGGAAUGUAAAACCCUUCCAGAGUAACAAUUGGAGGAUAAGUCUGGUGCCAGCAGCCGCGGUAAUUCCAGCUCCAAUAGUGUAUAUUAGAGUUGUUGCAGUUAAAAAGCUCGUAGUUGGAUUUCUGCUGUGGUCAUCCGGUACCGCCCGUAUGGGUGCGCACCUGGUUUGGCUCCGGCUUUCUUCCUGUAGCCGUCCGCGCUUAAUUGCGUGUACUGUGUUACGGAACUUUUACUUUGAGAAAAAUAGAGUGUUUCAAGCAGGCUUGUCGCCCUGAAUACUUCAGCAUGGAAUAAUAGGAUAGGACCUUGGUUCUAUUUUGUUGGUUUCUAGGACCAAGGUAAUGAUUAAUAGGGACAGUUGG
rnacentral:rRNA from 1 species